AAUUUAGCGUGCGCGAAUUCGCCCUUAGAGUUUGAUCCUGGCUCAGGACGAACGCUGGCGGCGUGCUUAACACAUGCAAGUCGAACGGAGUGCCUUGGAAAGAGAUUUCGGUCAAUGGAAGAGGUUACUUAGUGGCGGACGGGUGAGUAACGCGUGAGGAACCUGCCUUUCAGAGGGGGACAACAGUUGGAAACGACUGCUAAUACCGCAUAAUAUAUGUUUGUCGCAUGGCAGAUAUAUCAAAGAUUUAUCGCUGAGAGAUGGCCUCGCGUCUGAUUAGCUAGUUGGUAGGGUAAUGGCCUACCAAGGCGACGAUCAGUAGCCGGACUGAGAGGUUGGCCGGCCACAUUGGGACUGAGAUACGGCCCAGACUCCUACGGGAGGCAGCAGUGGGGACCAUUGGGCAAUGGGCGCAAGCCUGACCCAGCAACGCCGCGUGAAGGAAGAAAGCUUUCGGGUUGUAAACUUCUUUUAAGAGGGAAGAGCAGAAGACGGUACCUCCUGAAUAAGCUCCGGCUAA
rnacentral:rRNA from 1 species